UACCAUACAACCUAAGGGAUCCGAAAUCGUUGACUCUGACGCGCCCAUACUUAUCAAUGGAACGUCGUUGACAACGAAUACUAUGCACGUGUUCUUAUUCAACAGUCACACCCGUUUCCUCUGGCAACAGCACCACGUGGUACAGUUACCAAGUGAAACGUACACAAUAACACAAUAAUCACUCAGGGAAUCCCCGUACACACACAGCUGUUACACCAGUCGCUAAAUAAUCAAUAUUAUGCCCUUUGGCGAAACUAUACAGUCACCCACGCUAUAAUUCUCUAUAUAUGAAUUACCC